AUUACUUCUCAGUAAUACUUGGCUAAGAUCAAGUGUAGUAUCUGUUCUUAUCAGUUUAAUAUCUGAUACUUCCUCUAUCCGAGGACGAUAUAUUAAAUGGAUUUUUGGAACAGGGAGUCAGAAUAGGGGCUUGCUCCAUCCACUCCACGCAUUGACCUGGAGUUCCAGGAACCAUGCACCCCCA
rfam:Erinaceus europaeus unplaced genomic scaffold scaffold00577, whole genome shotgun sequence